rnacentral:tRNA from 2 species
CGGGGCGUAGCGCAGCCUGGUAGCGCACCUGCCUUGGGCGCAGGGGGUCCCCAGUUCAAAUCUGGGCGCCCCGACCA